rnacentral:rRNA from 1 species
CCUACGUGCGGCAGCAGUGAGGAAUAUUGGUCAAUGGACGAGAGUCUGAACCAGCCAAGUAGCGUGAAGGAUGACUGCCCUAUGGGUUGUAAACUUCUUUUAUAUGGGACUAAAAUGUUCCCCGUGUGGGAUUUUGUAUGUACCAUAUGAAUAAGGAUCGGCUAACUCCGUGCCCGCAGCCGCGGUAAUACGGAGGAUCCGAGCGUUAGCCGGAUUUAUUGGGGUUAAAGGGAGCGUAGGUGGAUUGUUAAGUCAGUUGUGAAAGUUUGCGGCUCAACCGUAAAAUUGCAGUUGAAACUGGCAGUAUUGAGUACAGUAGAGGUGGGCGGAAUGCGUGGUGUAGCGGUGAAAUGCUUAGAUAUCACGAAGAACGCCGAUUGCGAAGACAGUUCACUGGACUGCAACUGACACUGAGGCUCGAAAGUGUGGGUAUCAAACAGGAUUAGAUACCCGGGUAGUC